AACAGGAUUAGAUACCCUGGUAGUCCAUGCCGUAAACGUUGGGCACUAGGUGUGGGACCAUUCCACGGUUUCCGCGCCGCAGCUAACGCAUUAAGUGCCCCGCCUGGGGAGUACGGCCGCAAGGCUAAAACUCAAAGGAAUUUGACGGGGGCCCGCACAAGCGGCGGAGCAUGCGGAUUAAUUCGAUGCAACGCGAAGAACCUUACCUGGUCUUGACAUCCCGGAGUUUCAGAGAUGAGAUGUGCCUUCGGGAACCGUGAACAGGUGCUGCAUGGCUGUCGUCA
rnacentral:rRNA from 1 species